UGUUUGUGCUAAACGCCGGUUUGGGAUUAAAAAAAAGUGACGUGCUGUCGACGAAGCAUGGCAGCACCGAGCACUUGUUUUUUUAUUUAUUCUUGUAAGGACGCGAGGAAGUGAAGAUGCCGUGAAUAUCAGGUGCCUGUUUGUGCGCCGUUUUUAACGUUCUGCCGGCGAUUACCAGGCGCGGUGACUCAGGUGGCGGCGCCGCGCCAGGCUGCCCCUGCUGCAGGCGCCCAGGGCAAGAAGGGGAAUGGUUUGAGAAAAGACAGCUAGCAUGGCAGCCGCGUACAUAAUGUCAGUGUUUCAUGGAAGAUGAUCAGGCGAUUUUGUUAUGGGAAGUUGCAAAGCCGAUUUUACAUCUUUGCCUCCAGUAAAAGCGGACGUGAAUUCGUAAGCCAGAAGCUGAAGGUUGCCGUCCCUGAGCUAUCUGGUUUGGAUUUGGGCAGAAUUUUGUGCUUUACAUCAUGGCUUUGGAAACACGUGCCUCAAGAUUUGCCAUGUGCAGACCCUCAGAGUGCCCAGGAAGAAUGACCACAGCUGCGCUCAAAAAGGUUACAGGAAAGCUCCAACAGGUUUGUUCCCUGCGGGACUGAACCCAUCCAAGCCUGUAAGGAACAGACACUUCCCAGUGCUACAAAUGCAGCAUAAAAGUUAACUUUGCAGUGACUACUUUUUGUGCGUUUGAUAAGUUGCUACAUAGUUAUAAGCAUCUUUUUUUCAAUUGUUUGUAACCAGGAUUUGAGGUUAUGGAUAUACAUGUCUAUCAUAGCCCUAUGUAUGUAUGUUUGGUCAAUGACAGCAUCUAUUUAUCAAGCAUCCCUUCUCUAUCCUUCUGAAGCUGGUAAAGGUGCAUUAAAGAUACAAGACAGGAGGAAAAUUAAGACUGUAUAUCAGCUUCAGUGAGUGGGCCCUGUGGCUCCAGUAUUCUUCUGCAAUUACGCAUAUUUUGCUGUCAGGCAGGUAAACUGCCUGCUUGUUUCCGUACUGACAGUAGCCAGGUGUAUCAUGGACAUGUGAUGUUAAGGCAGAUAAAGACGACAGAUCAUUUCUGAAUUAGAGAGACAGAGAGCAAGAACACAAAUGUCCACACCAAAACAACAAUAGCUGUAAAGGGGAAAAAAAGUGCUAGUUGUUUAGCUGUUGCGUAUGGAGCAAUUCAUAGCUUUAAUUCAUUAGAACAUCACAAGUUCAAGCAACCUCAGCCCAGAUAAGAGUAUGUGGAACUCUGGCAUUUUAAAAGCCGCAUUUGAAAACUGUGGUCAGCCAGUUUUUCAGAUUUUGUAAUGUUUAUGAUCUCACCUAAAAAAAAGGUCUGGACAAGUAGGAACCCCCAGGCUACAGCCUAUACUCCAGCCUGUGCAUGGGGAGGGAGGAAAAAUGAUAACUUGAAUUUGUAUAGUUUGAAUUUUCAUUUUUUGCUAGUAUUCUAUUAGGCAAACUAUUCACCUCACUCUUCUGGAGCCCAAGUCACAGCUCUAAAUAACAGUCUUCAUUUGCCAUUUAUAUUUCCUGUAUGAGAUGGUGAUAUUUAUAGCAACUUUCUCAGUCCCCUGCUGAACAGACUAUUAACUAACGUUCUUGCAGACACAUUGACAGAACAGUAGUAGAAGGCUACUACUCCAGCCUAGAUUUUUGCAACAAUUACCUGUAGACUGUCAUCUGCCUACAACAGUAUGAAUCAGAGGAAAUUACUGUUUAUAGUUUACAGAAUACAUGUGACACUGGUAAGGUCUCUGCCUUGAAUAGCUUAGAUUUAAAUUAGCUGAGGCAGCAGAGGAGGGGGGAGGGCAAGCAAAAGCAAGUCUUGCAAAUCCAUGGCAUGGUGCCUGGUAACAGGUCACUGAGCAGGAAAGAAAACUCUGGCUUCAUUAUCAACAUUGGGCCUAUGUUCAAGUAUCAGCAACUUCUUUCCUGGAGAUUUCUCAAAACACAACCAAAGCCUUUUUGGACUCUUAGAAGAGAAAUUAGCCCCUGCUAUGAUGCAGGUAGGAUAUCACGUUUUGUUUUUGUGACUAAUGGUUGAGAAGGCUGUAGAAAUUAGCCUAAAAAUGUCAAGUAUUUCUGCACAAGAAUGUAGCAGAUUGUACACAUGGCAGGCACCGGGCACAGGUGGUACUGACAGAUGGUCUCCAGCCUUCCUCAACACUGAGCUGAUGUGGUGGGGUUGCUCUGAUGAAGGCAGCAAGUAUCCUGGAACAUUCAUUCAUGAGCUCACAGCCUUUUAGAUGGGUUAAAGAACACAUAGGUGAGUAAACAGAAGGCACCACAAAACAGUGACCCAAUCAAAAUGCUACUAUCAGAAGGGUGUACGUGUAUGUAUAGGUAGGGAGGGAGAGGAAGAAUUGUAAUUAGGUCACAGGGACCAACAGACAAAUAACAGGACAAAAUUAUCUAAUACCUGGGCUGUCAGUACACGAAUGCCAGGACACAGGAUGCAUUGGAACAAUUACAGUUUUUACACAACUAACUGUGAUGACAGGGGAUUGUGGAAUAAAAUCACUGAAUAAAAUAUUGUUAAAAAAGGACGUAAGCAAGAGAAAUAGAAGGAGAUAGCACGGAAGCUAUGCCACAAAAGCUACAGUAUAGACUACCUGAUCAAAAAUGAAGAGAACAAUGUUGUGGUAAGAAUCAAGUAUCUGCUGGAAAAGCAGUACAGCAGGAAACAAACAGUCCAUCAAGUUCUUACAACAGUUUGUGUAAGUUAUGGGCAUGGCUCCAUAAGUCAACUGUGAUUACUAGGAUGAACCUGGCUAAGACAAAAAACAUGCAAAGUCAGUCAUGAAAUGAGCUUGUCAUUCUGGACAAAGGAAGGAGCAAGAAGCAGAAGAAAGAUGUUCUUGCAUAUUUCAACAAAUUCAGGACUAUUAGCAAGUUUCAUGUCAAGAUAAUCCUUAGAAAUAACAUGGGGGUGGGAGGGAAGAGUAUAUUCCAGUUAGGUGGAAGACUAAAUAAACAGGAAGUAGAUCAAACCAUGGCUGAAUAGAGAAUAUUCUGCUGCUUCUUUGCUUCAGUUGACAUAAAGGGCUGUGAUCGGUCACCUAACAGCAGCAUGAACAAAAGCAGAUUCAAGAAUGUUUCAUAAACUACACGUAUUAUACUUCACUGAUUAAAACAAAAGCAAGCAAAGCAACUAAGAUCAGAAGUGAUAUACUUUUUUAUAAUAAAAAAAAAAUGUUAAAGGACAUUGGUAAGGUUUCAGUGUGCUAGAGAAGGACAAAAAACCCUGAUAGUUAAAUAAGAGGAAAAAAAACAGACUAAUGUGAGGUCAGUCAGACAAUAUGGGGAAAAAUAUAAUAAGUUAAUUUACUGUGUUUUUCUAACCCUAUGAGUACAUGUGUUGAAAUGUGUACCACAAGUGGCAGAAAAUACAAAAUUUAAUGUUAAUUUGACAUCUGUGGAGAACAAAACAAGCAUAUAUACAACUGAUUUAACUGAAGAACUACUCUGCCCACAGUAAGAAAAGAAAAUGGCAAUUUUUCAUAUUACUGUCAGAGCUAUCAGUAACACCAGCAGUUAAUAAAAAAAAGUUUUGUAAGCUAAGUAACCAAAGACAAGUUAUACAUAAGACCUUAUGAAAAAUAUACAGCUAACUUCUCCAGUAUUUACAGAAGUGAUGAUGUAAAGCAAAUAUAACCUUUCAUCAACUAAAAAUUCUGAGUCAAAUUUUGUAAUUUAGAGUAUUUUAGAUUAACACUGAAAACUAAAAACUUUUUCUUUUUUCUUAUUUAGCUAUCAUCUAUUCCAGUGUAACCUAGUUAGGAAGCGCUAUGAUAUAAAUAAUUUUCUUCUCAAUUUACAAAAACAGCAAAAUGGUCCUUGUAGCUGCAAUUCCAAGCAGCAAUUUUUUUGCAAUCUAUUUCUAAAAGUAACUUUAAAUAUGGAACAUUAAUGCUUCUGUUACAGAUGCCAUGCCAAAACUGAGCAAGCGAGAUGUAAAUUUAAAACAUACAAUAUACUUUUCUUCCACAUUAAAGACUAAUGGAUUACACAGUUAAGUUUAUGGAAACUUAUAGGGCAAAUAAGCCUAUCAAAAAAAGAAAAAAAUAUCCUGAGAAUUGUAAGUAAAGACACUUGUUUUAAAAAGGUCAAGUACUUUGGUCACUAGCUUCAAACCUCUAAGUGAGAACCCUGUCAGUCUGUGGUUAACUUCUAAAGGGUGAACCUUUCACCAAAGGCCAACCAAGAAGAAGCAAUUCUGUUGCAACUAAGAUUAUAUUUACCAUUACAGUUGCCUGCAUCUACAUUGGAUUUUUUUUUUCCUCUUAGAGGUCCACAAAAAAACUUGCAGUCCACUGAUUCAGAUUUAUGCAUGUUCCAACAAAAGACAAAGGUAAACGUGUGCGUUACUGAAUGAUUUUGGAGAGGAUGUUUCAUCAUGUUAGCAAGCGAAAGCUCAGCACACUGCACAUUAAAGAGAAUUAACUAGAUAUUCUGUGUAGCUGUUAAACAUAGAAAUCCAAAGUCUAAAAAUCAAGUGGUAAAUUCUUGAAAAGAAUAUUGAAGAAAUACCCAAAGAACAUUGCUGAGGUUGUACUAUAACAUUUUACUUCAUUUAAGUACAGCAAAUUUCACCAGUCCUAUGAUUUAUAAAGUACACAAAAUUUGUACAUAAAGGAAACCAAAACCCAUCAAAAGAUGAUCAUAAAUGUGUGUAUGUGCAUGUAACAUACACACGAAAUGUGCAAAUUUUUUUAAUGCAAGUUAAACAAAGCAUAUACAGGAUAGAGUUGUACAGUGCUAAGGGAACAUACGGUAUUCUAGGUAUCCUUAUGAUGUUUCAUAUCUACAGCCAGUGCAAACUUAAAAGGCACAAACUCAAUGCUGACACUGUA